UGUGUAUGUAUGUAUAUAUACAUGUGUGUAUAUAUACGUAUAUACAUGUGUAUAUUUAUGUAUAUAUGUGUGUGUGUGUAUACACACACACACACACACACACACACACACACACACCCCUAACAGUUUGGAGCUGGGAAAAGAACUUAAUAAACUGCUUUCAUAUACUUAUUUCUUUAAUUGUUGUAAGUAAUAUAUCUACAGGACUUAAAAACUAAUACAGUAUUACAAGGCUUAUUAUGAAAAACAAUAAUUCCUCAACUCUACCCUUCCUCCUCCCUAGCCCUACUACCGGAAUAAAUUAGUACAACAUUUCAACGUUUUAGCUGUUUUUAUAUUUGCUUCCAGAUUUCAGAUAUAGAACCACUCUUAGACCAGGUAAGCAAGAAUCUAGUUCCAAUAAAGUGGCUUCAUUACAAGUUGCCUCCUGCUGGAUGAUGCAAGUAUUUCUCUUUAGAUUGUAUAAGAUUAAAGUGUUGAAAUGAUGCCGUCUUGCUGAUUUGCAGUGAUUCUCUCUUAUUUGUGUCAGAUCCAGGAUGAGUUCAGACCCUGGGCUAUCCAUGGACCAUGGCUGACCCUUGGCCUAAAGCCACAUAUCCAGGCCUAUGAAAUGGAUUUGACCCAUCUGUGAUCUGAUUACCCCACCACUGCAUGCCUACAGCACACAAGGAAUGCGAAAACAUCAUGUUCCAGGGACAGUCUUCAUUUGCGCUAGACAAAAGACAAACAAUCCUUCCUUGAAUGGACCCACUCUUCUUUUUUCACUCAUCUCCUCUCACUGAUCUCCCUGCUGGUGGUGGCGGAUAGAAGGCAGAGAUGUGGUCAACACCAAAUGAGAUUAUGUUCUGGGAAUUCAGAGAUUACAGUCUGAAGAAUUCAAGAUAAGGUAUGAUGCUUCUAAACAUAUGAGUGUCUCUUUUCUCUACAUCUUCAAUAAAUCACUUCCUUAUAUUUGUCAUGGGCCCAUGAAUUUUGUUACAAAUUUUAAUUCAAAUUGUUUAUGAAACAGAUGCCCCACCAAGGUAUUAUCCUCAGUCCCACAUACCCUAGGGGAGGUCCUGUUUAACAACAAAGUGAUGCUGUUUCUUGAUUUCAUAAUUUUAGACAUUAUCUAUUGAGUUCCUGCUAUAGAAGAUUAGAAAUAAUCUUAUAUUUUGCCACCUUUGUGCCCUACCUCUAGCCUAGCAAUUUCACAUUUUUGGUUAAAUAUUUUAGUUUGCAUUUUUAUGUUUGUUUUACCUAGAAUUUGUUCAUAUAUAAAAUGAGGAUAACAAAUUACCAAGGUUCUAAAGUUGCUAAGGUUAUAUAUAAAAUACAUUUAAAAACUCAGGGUAGUUACCUGGCACAAUUUAGCACUCCAGAAAUGCUUUCUACCGUCAAUGCUUAGUUUACUUAGCAUUUAUUCUUUUUCCAAACCUUUGGGAAGAGUUGAAAAUUUCCUCUUAACAUGGUCAGGUGAUCAAGCAGUUAUAGUGUUUUUUUUU
rnacentral:lncRNA from 10 species